rnacentral:tRNA from 3 species
GAGCGAUCUAAGUUAGUGAAAAGAUUGACUUUUAAUCAGUAGGUCGCUGGUUCGAAUCCAGCAGGGCUCACCA